CAGAGGGGGAAUUUAAAAAAAAAAAAAAACGCCAAUAUCGGAAGACAAGAUACCCUGUGGAAAGUGAGUUACAGCAACAGCUAUUGCUGGCAGUGCUGCAGUAAAUGCAGUGUGUUAAAAUGCUCACAGUGGUGUUGAUUUUACUGUAUCAGAGGUUGGACAGAUUGAUCUAAAGGUUGAAUUACAGCGCGUUUGAAUCGAGUAUCCACCCAAAGAGUAUUGGGCCUACGUUUAGUCAGCAGGGUGAUCGCUUACACUUCAUUACAAAAAGGAGAAGGAAAAGACAUUAUUAGGCAGCGCUAUCAAUAUUAUUAAUUAGGCAACACGCGAUGUAUAACAAAAGCAUUUACUUAGGUUGAAAUGUCAUGUGCUAAAUUACCAAACAUGUUUGACAGUCAAAGCAUGAUCGUAACAAUCCACAUUUUGUUUUAUUCAUAAACUACGCUGAUAUCUGAACACAGAAUUAUAGCUCCACCCUUCCGAAUGCAUGCGCGCUCCCGCGGCAGGGGACACACUUUCUAUCGGGGGUAAAUACUUUGGCACGACACCGGAAAGUAGCUAAACAGACAGACUGCUGACGUCUGACGUUACGCACCAGCAAACACCACCCUCCUGUUUCUGUGAGGGGACUGUGCUGUUAAAGGGGCCACUGCUUUCUCAGAUCACAUGACCUUCUCCAUGAUGUCAUUUCCUCCUGAAGAAAAGACUGGCAAGACUCCAAGGCUUUCUGAGUUAUUUUAAAUCUUUUAUUAUUGAUUUUAAUGUUUAUUGAUUUUAAUUAACUGUUUUGUUUUAUUUUAUUGUAUUUUAUGUACAGCGUCUUUGAGUUACUUGUA